GAGGGUGGAGAUCAAUGGUAGAGCACAUGCUUAGCAUGCACCAGGUCCUGGGUUCAAUCCCCAGUACCUCCA
rnacentral:tRNA from 1 species